GUUAGGCCCAAUCGAAGCUCACUAAAGUUUAUAAUACUUUGUGUGGAGUCAAAAUGCGGCCGACAUUAAAUGAUUUGUCGUUAUGGUCGCAUGACAAUAUUUAUAUUUGUUGUGCAUUACCCACGUCAAAUACAAUC